CUAUCACCACGCUCUAGGUAAACACUGUCUAUCACCACGCUCUAGGUAAACACUGUCUAUCACCACGCUCUAGGUAAACACUGUCUAUCACCACGCUCUAGGUAAACACUGUCUAUCACCACGCUCUAGGUAAACACUGUCUAUCACCACGCUCUAGGUAAACACUGUCUAUCACCACGCUCUAGGUAAACACUGUCUAUCACCACGCUCCAGACGCUCUAGGUAAACACUGUCUAUCACCACGCUCUAGGUAAACACUGUCUAUCACCACGCUCUAGGUAAACACUGUCUAUCACCACGCUCUAGGUAAACACUGUCUAUCACCACGCUCUAGGUAAACACUGUCUAUCACCACGCUCUAGGUAAACACUGUCUAUCACUACGCUCUAGGUAAACACUGUCUAUCACCACGCUCCAGGUAAACACUGUCUAUCACCACGCUCUAGGUAAACACUGUCUAUCACCACGCUCUAGGUAAACACUGUCUAUCACCACGCUCUAGACGCUCUAGGUAAACACUGUCUAUCACCACGCUCUAGGUAAACACUGUCUAUCACCACGCUCUAGGUAAACACUGUCUAUCACCACGCUCUAGGUAAACACUGUCUAUCACCACGCUCUAGGUAAACACUGUCUAUCACCACGCUCCAGGUAAACACUGUCUAUCACCACGCUCUAGGUAAACACUGUCUAUCACCACGCUCUAGGUAAACACUGUCUAUCACCACGCUCUAGGUAAACACUGUCUAUCACCACGCUCUAGGUAAACACUGUCUAUCACCACGCUCUAGGUAAACACUGUCUAUCACCACGCUCUAGGUAAACACUGUCUAUCACCACACUCUAGGUAAACACUGUCU